rnacentral:snRNA from 13 species
UGAUUUAAAUAGGAUCAUUUCUCCGUGAUCAUGAAAGCUGAGACCCCAGGAGGAGGCCCUUCCAUUGCAUUUCGGAAGGGCUGAAACCUGCCACUGUCCCAAACUGAAAAGGGUGGGGCAUGAUAAUUUUUAAUAGGGGGUUGCUCGGUCGAGCUCGGUGGCUCU